GACGAACGCUGGCGGCGUGCUUAACACAUGCAAGUCGAACGGAAAGGCCCUGCUUUUGUGGGGUGCUCGAGUGGCGAACGAGUGAGUAACACGUGAGUAACCUGCCCUUGACUUUGGGAUAACUUCAGGAAACUGGGGCUAAUACCGGAUAGGAGCUCCUGCUGCAUGGUGGGGGUUGGAAAGUUUCGGCGGUUGGGGAUGGACUCGCGGCUUAUCAGCUUGUUGGUGGGGUAGUGGCUUACCAAGGCUGUGACGGGUAGCCGGCCUGAGAGGGUGGCCGGCCACAUUGGGACUGCGAUACGGCCCAGACUCCUACGGGAGGCAGCAGUGGGGAAUAUUGCACAAUGGGCGGAAGCCUGAUGCAGCAACGCCGCGUGCGGGAUGACGGCCUUCUGGUUGUAAACCGCUUUCGCCUGUGACGAAGCGUGAUUGACGGUAAUGGGUAAAGAAGCACCGGCUAACUACGUG
rnacentral:rRNA from 1 species